CUACACAUGCAAAGUCGAGCGGAACGAGUUAGUCUGAACCUUCGGGGAACGAUAACGGCGUCGAGCGGCGGACGGGUGAGUAAUGCCUGGGAAAUUGCCCUGAUGUGGGGGAUAACUAUUGGAAACGAUAGCUAAUACCGCAUAAUGUCUACGGACCAAAGAGGGGGACCUUCGGGCCUCUCGCUUCAGGAUAUGCCCAGGUGGGAUUAGCUAGUUGGUGAGGUAAUGGCUCACCAAGGCGACGAUCCCUAGCUGGUCUGAGAGGAUGAUCAGCCACACUGGAACUGAGACACGGUCCAGACUCCUACGGGAGGCAGCAGUGGGGAAUAUUGCACAAUGGGCGCAAGCCUGAUGCAGCCAUGCCGCGUGUUAUGAAGAAGGCCUUCGGGUUGUAAAGUACUUUCAGUCGUGAGGAAGGCGUUAAAGUUAAUAGCUUUAUCGUUUGACGUUAGCGACAGAAGAAGCACCGGCUAACUCCGUGCCAGCAGCCGCGGUAAUACGGAGGGUGCGAGCGUUAAUCGGAAUUACUGUUGGCGUAAAGCGCAUGCAGGUGGUUUGUUAAGUCAGAUGUGAAAGCCCGGGGCUCAACCUCGGAACCGCAUUUGAAACUGGCAGGCUAGAGUACUGUAGAGGGGGGUAGAAUUUCAGGUGUAGCGGUGAAAUGCGUAGAGAUCUGAAGGAAUACCAGUGGCGAAGGCGGCCCCCUGGACAGAUACUGACACUCAGAUGCGAAAGCGUGGGGAGCAAACAGGAUUAGAUACCCUGGUAGUCCACGCCGUAAACGAUGUCUACUUGGAGGUUGUGGCCUUGAGCCGUGGCUUUCGGAGCUAACGCGUUAAGUAGACCGCCUGGGGAGUACGGUCGCAAGAUUAAAACUCAAAUGAAUUGACGGGGGCCCGCACAAGCGGUGGAGCAUGUGGUUUAAUUCGAUGGCAACGCGAAGAACCUUACCUACUCUUGACAUCCCCAGAGAACUUUUCAGAGAUGAAUUGGUGCCUUCGGGAACUCUGAGACAGGUGCUGCAUGGCUGUCGUCAGCUCGUGUUGUGAAAUGUUGGGUUAAGUCCCGCAACGAGCGCAACCCUUAUCCUUGUUUGCCAGCAAGUAAUGGUGGGAACUCCAGGGAGACUGCCGGUGAUAAACCGGAGGAAGGUGGGGACGACGUCAAGUCAUCAUGGCCCUUACGAGUAGGGCUACACACGUGCUACAAUGGCGCAUACAGAGGGCGGCCAACCAGCGAUGGUGAGCGAAUCCCAA
rnacentral:rRNA from 1 species